rnacentral:rRNA from 1 species
GACGAACGCUGGCGGCGUACUUAACACAUGCAAGUCGAGCGGUAAGGCUCCUUCGGGAGUACACGAGCGGCGAACGGGUGAGUAACACGUGAGCAAUCUGCCCUUCACUUUGGGAUAACUCCGGGAAACCGGUGCUAAUACCGAAUGCGACCACUUCAGGCAUCUGACGGUGGUGGAAAGUUCCGGCGGUGAAGGAUGAGCUCGCGGCCUAUCAGCUUGUUGGUGAGGUAAUGGCUCACCAAGGCUUCGACGGGUAGCCGGCCUGAGAGGGUGACCGGCCACACUGGGACUGAGACACGGCCCAGACUCCUACGGGAGGCAGCAGUGGGGAAUAUUGGACAAUGGGCGAAAGCCUGAUCCAGCAACGCCGCGUGAGGGAUGACGGCCUUCGGGUUGUAAACCUCUUUCAGCAGGGACGAAGCGAAAGUGACGGUACCUGCAAAAGAAGCACCGGCCAACUACGUG